AUAUAUAUAUAUACACACACAUACAUACACCAUAUAUAUAUAUUGUGUGUGUGUGUAUAUAUAU